UACGUAGGUGGCAAGCGUUGUCCGGAAUUACUGGGCGUAAAGCGCACGUAGGCGGCUUUGUAAGUUAGAGGUGAAAGCCCGGGGCUCAACCUCGGAAUUGCCUUUAAGACUGCAUCGCUAGAAUUGUGGAGAGGUAAGUGGAAUUCCGAGUGUAGAGGUGAAAUUCGUAGAUAUUCGGAAGAACACCAGUGGCGAAGGCGACUUACUGGACACAUAUUGACGCUGAGGUGCGAAAGCGUGGGGAGCAAACAGG
rnacentral:rRNA from 1 species